rnacentral:rRNA from 1 species
UACGAAGGGGCUAGCGUUGUUCGGAAUCACUGGCGUAAAGCGCACGUAGGCGGAUCUUUAAGUCAGGGUGAAAUCCCGAGGCUCAACCUCGGAACUGCCUUGAUACUGGGAUCUCGAGUCCGGGAGAGGUGAGUGGAACUGCGAGUGUAGAGGUGAAAUUCGUAGAUAUUCGCAAGAACACCAGUGGCGAAGGCGGCUCACUG